CAGUAGCCGCGGGAAUACGAAGGGUGCAAGCGUUACUCGGAAUUACUGGGCGUAAAGCGUGCGUAGGUGGUGGUUUGAGUCCGUUGUGAAAGCCCUGGGCUCAACCUGGGAAUUGCAGUGGAUACUGGGUCACUAGAGUGUGGUAGAGGAUAGUGGAAUUUCCGGUGUAGCAGUGAAAUGCGUAGAGAUCGGAAGGAACAUCUGUGACGAAGGCGACUAUCUGGGCCAACACUGACACUGAGGCACGAAAGCGUGGGGAGCAAACAGGAUUAGAUACCCCGGUAGUCCUGUCUCUUAUACA
rnacentral:rRNA from 1 species